rnacentral:rRNA from 1 species
GACGAACGCUGGCGGCGGGCUUAACACAUGCAAGUCGAACGGAAAGGCCCUGCUUUUGUGGGGUGCUCGAGUGGCGAACGGGUGAGUAACACGUGAGUAACCUGCCCUUGACUUUGGGAUAACUUCAGGAAACUGGGGCUAAUACCGGAUAGGAGCUCCUGCUGCAUGGUGGGGGUUGGAAAGUUUCGGCGGUAGGGGAUGGACUCGCGGCUUAUCAGCUUGUUGGUGGGGUAGUGGCUUACCAAGGCUUUGACGGGUAGCCGGCCUGAGAGGGUGACCGGCCACAAUGGGACUGAGAUACGGACCAGACUCCUACGGGGGGCAGCGGGGGGGAAUAUGGCACAAUGGGCGGAAGCCUGAUGCAGCAACGCCGCGUGCGGGAUGACGGCCUGCGGGUUGUAAACCGCUGUCGCCUGUGACGAAGCGGGAGUGACGGUAAUGGGUAAAGAAGCACCGGCUAACUACGUG